rnacentral:rRNA from 1 species
UACGAAGGGUGCAAGCGUUACUCAGAAUUACUGGGCGUAAAGCGUGCGUAGGUGGUUGUUUAAGUCUGCUGUGAAAGCCCUGGGCUCAACCUGGGAAUUGCAGUGGAUACUGGGCGACUAGAGUGUGGUAGAGGAUAGUGGAAUUUCCGGUGUAGCAGUGAAAUGCGUAGAGAUCGGAAGGAACAUCUGUGGCGAAGGCGACUAUCUGGGCCAACACUGACACUGAGGCACGAAAGCGUGGGGAGCAAACAGG